GCCUGGGUGGCUCAGUCGGUUAAGCGUCUGACUUCAGCUCAGAUCAUGAUCUCACGGUCCGUGAGUUUGAGCCCCGCAUCGGGCU
rnacentral:tRNA from 1 species